CCGAGUGCGCGCCCUGCAAGGUGCAACCUCCCACCCGUGUCUCUGAGUACCCUGUUGCUUUGGCGGGCCCACCGGGAAACCGGUCGCCGGGGGAUGCCCAGUCCCCGGGCCCGCGCCCGCCGGAGCGCCUGAAGAACCCUUAUGAAGACGGACUGUCUGAGUGUCAUUGAUAAUAGUCA
rnacentral:misc_RNA from 1 species